rnacentral:rRNA from 1 species
GCGUUGGAACCACCUGAUCCCUUCCCGAACUCAGAAGUGAAACGACGCAUCGCCGAUGGUAGUGUGGGGUCUCCCCAUGUGAGAGUAGGUCAUCGUCAAGC